rnacentral:rRNA from 1 species
CUACGGGCGGCUGCAGUAAGGAAUAUUGGGCAAUGGACGCAAGUCUGACCCAGCCAUGCCGCGUGCAGGAUGACAGCCCUACGGGUCGUAAACUGCUUUUAUAUAGGAAAAAACCCCCGAACGUGUUCGGGGCUGAUGGUACUAUAUGAAUAAGGAUCGGCUAACUCCGUGCCAGCAGCCGCGGUAAUACGGAGGAUCCAAGCGUUAUCCGGAUUCAUUGGGUUUAAAGGGUGCGCAGGCGGGACGGUAAGUCAGUGGUGAAAGCCUACAGCUCAACUGUAGAACUGCCAUUGAAACUACCGUUCUUGAGUACAGUUGAAGUGGGCGGAAUGUGUCAUGUAGCGGUGAAAUGCAUAGAUAUGACACAGAACACCGAUCGCGAAGGCAGCUCACUAAGCUGUAACUGACGCUCAGGCACGAAAGCGUGGGGAGCAAACAGGAUUAGAUACCCGCGUAGUC